ACGAACGCUGGCGGCGUGCUUAACACAUGCAAGUCGAACGGAAAGGCCCUGCUUUUGUGGGGUGCUCGCGUGGCGAACGGGUGAGUAACACGUGAGUAACCUGCCCUUGACUUUGGGAUAACUUCAGGAAACUGGGGCUAAUACCGGAUAGGAGCUCCUGCUGCAUGGUGGGGGUUGGAAAGUUUCGGCGGUUGGGGAUGGACUCGCGGCUUAUCAGCUUGUUGGUGGGGUAGUGGCUUACCAAGGCUUUGACGGGUAGCCGGCCUGAGAGGGUGACCGGCCACAUUGGGACUGAGAUACGGCCCAGACUCCUACGGGAGGCAGCAGUGGGGAAUAUUGCACAAUGGGCGGAAGCCUGAUGCAGCAACGCCGCGUGCGGGAUGACGGCCUUCGGGUUGUAAACCGCUUUCGCCUGUGACGAAGCGUGAGUGACGGUAAUGGAUAAAGAAGCACCGGCUAACUACGUG
rnacentral:rRNA from 1 species